rnacentral:rRNA from 1 species
CCUACGGGAGGCAGCAGUAGGGAAUAUUGGACAAUGGGUGCGAGCCUGAUCCAGCCAUGCCGCGUGCAGGAAGAAGGCCUUCUGGGUUGUAAACUGCUUUUGCCGGGGGAUAAAAGACCCAUGCGUGGGGAAUUGAAGGUACCCGGUGAAUAAGCCACGGCUAACUACGUGCCAGCAGCCGCGGUAAUACGUAGGUGGCGAGCGUUGUCCGGAUUUAUUGGGUUUAAAGGGUGCGUAGGCGGCCCCGUAAGUCAGUGGUGAAAUACGGCAGCUCAACUGUCGAGGUGCCAUUGAUACUGCGGGGCUUGAGUACAGUCGAGGUAGGCGGAAUUGACGGUGUAGCGGUGAAAUGCUUAGAUAUCGUCAAGAACACCGAUAGCGAAGGCAGCUUGCUAGGCUGUAACUGACGCUGAGGCACGAAAGUGCGGGGAUCAAACAGGAUUAGAUACCCUGGUAGUCCGCACAGUAAACGAUGGUCACUCGGUGUUGGCGGUACACGGCCAGCGCCUUAGCGAAAGCGUUAAGUGACCACCUGGGGAGUACGCCGCAAGGGUGAAACUCAAAGGAAUUGACGG